rnacentral:misc_RNA from 1 species
CAGAGUUGCAAAACUCCCUAAACCAUCGCGAACGCUACCAAUUCGUUGCUUCGGCGGGCGGGGCCCCAGCGCCCCACCCCUAAACCAGGAGCCCACCCCUCGGGGCGGGCGCCCGCCGGAGGUACCCAAACUCUUUGUUUAAUUUACGGCCUCUCUGAGUCUUCUGUACUGAAUAAGUCA